UUUGGCUCAGGAUGAACGCUGGCGGCGUGCUUAACACAUGCAAGUCGAACGGGGUUAUUUCGAGUAGCUUGCUACAUGAAAUAACCUAGUGGCGGACGGGUGAGUAACGCGUGGGAAACCUGCCUCGUACUGGGGGAUAACAGUUGGAAACGACUGUUAAUACCGCAUAAGCGCACGAUGUCGCAUGACAAAGUGUGAAAAACUCCGGUGGUACGAGAUGGUCCCGCGUCUGAUUAGCUAGUUGGUGAGGUAACGGCCCACCAAGGCGACGAUCAGUAGCCGGCCCGAGAGGGUGUACGGCCACAUUGGGACUGAGACACGGCCCAAACUCCUACGGGAGGCAGCAGUGGGGAAUA
rnacentral:rRNA from 1 species